rnacentral:lncRNA from 1 species
AAAAUCCAUAAAUAUUAUAUGAAAUGGGCAUUGUAUUCCUCAACUGAUAUUGCUUAUUUUCCAGACUCCUUAGCUGCAGGAAGUGGAGAGAAUCCCAGGAGACAAUUACCAAAGAAGAAAAUUUUGGUUUUGGGAGAUUCAACGUUAAUAUCUCACAUGUAG